ACAGAAAUUCUUUGGGGUUCUUUUAAAGUGUAUUAAGGAGAUCCUGAGACCAAAAACUAUGAGAACCACUGAUACAGACAGGAAGCGGCCACAUGCAUGGAACAAGAGGCACCGAACGACACUUGAGGACAAAACACCUGGCCUAGUGCUGCUCUUUGCUGAGAAGAGAAAGAUUCAAAGCUUCAUCCUGCUCCCCAGAUGCUAACCCUAGA